GAUGAACGCUGGCGGCGUGCCUAAUACAUGCAAGUCGAGCGAACGGACGAGAAGCUUGCUUUUCUGAUGUUAGCGGCGGACGGGUGAGUAACACGUGGAUAACCUACCUAUAAGACUGGGAUAACUUCGGGAAACCGGAGCUAAUACCGGAUAAUAUUUCGAACCGCAUGGUUCAAAAGUGAAAGACGGUCUUGCUGUCACUUAUAGAUGGAUCCGCGCUGCAUUAGCUAGUUGGUAAGGUAACGGCUUACCAAGGCAACGAUGCAUAGCCGACCUGAGAGGGUGACCGGCCACACUGGAACUGAGACACGGUCCAGACUCCUACGGGAGGCAGCAGUAGGGAAUCUUCCGCAAUGGGCGAAAGCCUGACGGAGCAACGCCGCGUGAGUGAUGAAGGUCUUCGGAUCGUAAAACUCUGUUAUUAGGGAAGAACAUAUGUGUAAGUAACUGUGCACAUCUUGACGGUACCUAAUCAGAAAGCCACGGCUAACUACGUG
rnacentral:rRNA from 1 species